GUAGGUGGCAAGCGUUGUCCGGAAUUAUUGGGCGUAAAGCGCGCGCAGGGCGGUCCUUUAAGUCUGAUGUGAAAGCCCACGGCUCAACCGUGGAGGGUCAUUGGAAACUGGGGGACUUGAGUACAGAAGAGGAAAGCGGAAUUCCAAGUGUAGCGGUGAAACGCGUAGAGAUUUGGAGGAACACCAGUGGCGAAGGCGGCUUUCUGGUCUGUAACUGACGCUGAGGCGCGAAAGCGUGGGGAGCAAACAGGAUUAGAUACCCUGGUAGUCCACGCCGUAAACGAUGAGUGCUAAGUGUUAGGGGGUUUCCGCCCCUUAGUGCUGCAGCUAACGCAUUAAGCACUCCGCCUGGGGAGUACGGCCGCAAAGGCUG
rnacentral:rRNA from 1 species